rnacentral:rRNA from 1 species
AUUGAACGCUGGCGGCAUGCCUUACACAUGCAAGUCGAACGGCAGCACGGGAGCAAUCCUGGUGGCGAGUGGCGAACGGGUGAGUAAUAUAUCGGAACGUGCCCGGUCGUGGGGGAUAACGUAGCGAAAGCUACGCUAAUACCGCAUACGAUCUACGGAUGAAAGUGGGGGAUCGCAAGACCUCAUGCUCAUGGAGCGGCCGAUAUCUGAUUAGGUAGUUGGUGGGGUAAAGGCUCACCAAGCCAACGAUCUGUAGCUGGUCUGAGAGGACGACCAGCCACACUGGAACUGAGACACGGUCCAGACUCCUACGGGAGGCAGCAGUGGGGAAUUUUGGACAAUGGGCGCAAGCCUGAUCCAGCAAUGCCGCGUGCAGGAUGAAGGCC